GGGUGCGAUCAUACCAGCACUAAUGCACCGGAUCCCAUCAAAACCCCGAAGUUAAACGUGCUUGGGCGAGAGUAGUACUAAGAUGGGUGACCUCUUGGGAAGUCCUCGUGUUGCACCCC
rnacentral:rRNA from 1 species